rnacentral:lncRNA from 1 species
CGAGCCUCGUGCUCUUCUCGAAUUUUCUUCCUUCUCAAUUUUCAUCUCGUGAGUGUAGCAACAUGAAUUAUAGCUUGUCAAGCAAUACAUUUUCUCAGCGUUGAGAAGAUUCUGCUCCAUUUUUUCUGAUUAUGGAUUCUGUUCAGAAGGAAGCCGAAUUUUAAGUCAUCGUUCUAGGAUAGAUUCAGCUCCAUUUUCUCUGGUGGUAGAUCUCCAUGGAUGCUAUUGAGAAGGUACUUCUCAAAGUCCACGAGGACAAGGACAUCUUUCCACCGAAUGCCACCUGGUUUAUAACAAAAGCAUGAAAAACAAACAGGAAUUUCUCAAUGCAGAAAGGACUGAAGCUGUCAAAGGUGUGCUUUUUUUCUGCACAAACAAGUUUCCAUUGAAUGAUAGAAUAAAGAGAUACUGACUUCCCCGGAGCCUCCAAACUUGAGUAGUCAGGCAUUGGGAUCCGUGGAAGGCUUGUUAAAUCCAAAUAGAUUGGUCCUACUCCAUCCGCAGAGUUGCUGACGAGGUGCGUCCAGGCCUUCUCCUCACCUCUCAGGGAGAUAUACCAUGCAGUGCCUUCAGUUAUGGUGUUGUGACUGAGGAUGCUUCGGUCAGACAUGUCCCUGAAAACCUGCAUAGAGGAAUCUCUUGCCCCAAGUUUCAUUCCAAGUAUUUAAAUUGGAAUUGAGCAUCCUGUCAUGCCAGGGAUGAGAAUGCCUGGGUUACAUCAGUUAGCCCUCUCCUCUUGAGGAAUGGCAUAUUACCCAUUUUAGCUGCACUUCAAGGGAAGUUAUUGAAUAUGUCCUAUCCAACUAAAACAAGGAAAUGAUGAAAAAAAUAAAAUCACUUUCCAGAGGCCUCAGGGCUAACUGGAGACAGAGCUCAGACUGCAACUGAGAAAAGUUGGACUCCAAAACCUGUACUCUGAGCUUUACUGCAUGAGAAAGUUAUUGAAAUGUGCCUUGUGACAUUCAGAAUAAGUGACUUUUCAGAGGUCUCAGAGUCAGUAAGAGACAGAACUCAGAUUGUAACCAAGAAGAGCUGAACUCCAAACUUCUGUGUCCGGAAUUGGUGGGUUCUUGGUCUCACUGACUUCAAGAAUGAAGCGGCAGACCCUCGCGG